rnacentral:tRNA from 1 species
UGGGAGAUCGUCUAACGGCAGGACGACAGGCUCUGGCCCUGUUAGUGGGGGUUCGAAUCCUCCUCUCCCAACCA